AUUGAACGCUGGCGGCAGGCUUAACACAUGCAAGUCGAGCGGGGGAAGGUAGCUUGCUACCGGACCUAGCGGCGGACGGGUGAGUAAUGCUUAGGAAUCUGCCUAUUAGUGGAGGACAACAUCUCGAAAGGGAUGCUAAUACCGCAUACGUCCUACGGGAGAAAGCAGGGGAUCUUCGGACCUUGCGCUAAUAGCUGAGCCUAAGUCGGAAUAGCUAGUUGGUGGGGUAAAGGCCUACCAAGGCGACGAUCUGAAGCGGGUCUGAGAGGAUGAUCCGCCACACUGGGACGUAGACACGGCCCAGAAUCCUACGGGAGGCAGCAGUGGGGAAUAUUGGACAAUGGGGGGAACCCUGAUCCAGCCAUGCCGCGUGUGUGAAGAAGGCCUUAUGGUUGUAAAGCACUUUAAGCGAGGAGGAGGCUACUUUAGUUAAUACCUAGAGAUAGUGGACGUUACUCGCAGAAUAAGCACCGGCUAACUCUGUGCCAGCCGCCGCGGUAACAC
rnacentral:rRNA from 1 species